rnacentral:rRNA from 1 species
UACGUAGGGUGCGAGCGUUGUCCGGAAUUACUGGGCGUAAAGAGCGCGUAGGUGGUUUUUCGCGUCGUUCGUGAAAACCGGGGGCUUAACCCUCGGCGUGCGGGCGAUACGGGCAGACUUGAGUACUGCAGGGGAGACUGGAAUUCCUGGUGUAGCUGUGGAAUGCGCAGAUAUCAGGAGGAACACCGGUGGCGAAGGCGGGUCUCGGGGCAGUAACUGACGCUGAGGAGCGAAAGCGUGGGGAGCGAACAGG